rnacentral:rRNA from 1 species
AUACGGAGGGUGCAAGCGUUGUUCGGAAUCACUGGGCGUAAAGGGCGCGCAGGCGGUUUGAUUAGUCAGAUGUGAAAGCCCACGGCUUAACCGUGGAAGUGCAUUUGAAACUGUCAGACUUGAGUAUCAGAGGGGAAAGUGGAAUUCCCGGUGUAGAGGUGAAAUUCGUAGAUAUCCGGAGGAAUACCGGUGGCGAAGGCGACUUGCUGGCUGAAUACUGACGCUGAGGCGCGAAAGCGUGGGGAGCAAACAGGAUUAGAAACCCUAGUAGUCC